rnacentral:rRNA from 1 species
UACAGAGGUCCCGAGCGUUGUUCGGAUUCAUUGGGCGUAAAGGGUGCGUAGGCGGUCUUCUAAGUUUGAUGUGAAAUCCCGGGGCUCAACCCUGGAAUUGCAUUGAAUACUGGAGGACUAGAGUACCGGAGAGGAAACUGGAAUUUACGGUGUAGCAGUGAAAUGCGUAGAGAUCGUAAGGAAGACCAGUGGCGAAGGCGAGUUUCUGGACGGUAACUGACGCUGAGGCACGAAGGCCAGGGAGCAAACGGG